UACGAAGGGGGCUAGCGUUGCUCGGAAUCACUGGGCGUAAAGGGUGCGUAGGCGGGUCUUUUAAGUCAGGGGUGAAAUCCUGGAGCUCAACUCCAGAACUGCCUUUGAUACUGAGGAUCUUGAGUACGGGAGAGGUGAGUGGAACUGCGAGUGUAGAGGUGAAAUUCGUAGAUAUUCGCAAGAACACCAGUGGCGAAGGCGGCUCACUGGCCCGUUACUGACGCUGAGGCACGAAAGCGUGGGGGAGCAAAGCAG
rnacentral:rRNA from 1 species